GUGAGGAAUAUUGGUCAAUGGGCGGGAGCCUGAACCAGCCAAGUCGCGUGAAGGAAGAAGGAUCUAUGGUUCGUAAACUUCUUUUGCAGGGGAAUAAAGUGCAGGACGUGUCCUGUUUUGUAUGUACCCUGAGACUAAGGAUCGGCUAACUCCGUGCCAGCAGCCGCGGUAAUACGGAGGAUCCGAGCGUUAUCCGGAUUUAUUGGGUUUAAAGGGUGCGUAGGUGGUUUGAUAAGUCAGCGGUGAAAGUUUGCAACUUAACUGUAAAAAUGCCGUUGAAACUGUCGGACUUGAGUGUAAAUGAGGUAGGCGGAAUGCGUGGUGUAGCGGUGAAAUGCAUAGAUAUCACGCAGAACUCCGAUUGCGAAGGCAGCUUACUAAGCUACAACUGACACUGAAGCACGAAAGCGUGGGGAUCAAACAGGAUUAGAAACCCUUGUAGUCC
rnacentral:rRNA from 1 species